UGGGGAAUAUUGGGCAAUGGACGCAAGUCUGACCCAGCGACGCCGCGUGCGGGAUGAAGGCCUUCGGGUUGUAAACCGCUUUCAGCAGGGAAGAAGCGAAAGUGACGGUACCUGCAAAAGAAGCACCGGCUAACUAUGUGCCAGCAGCCGCGGUAAUACAUAGGGUGCAAGCGUUGUCCGGAAUUAUUGGGCGUAAAGAGCUCGUAGGUGGUUAGUUACGUCGGGUGUGAAAAUCUGGGGCUCAACCCCAGACCUGCACUCGAUACGGGCUAGCUAGAGUUUGGUAGGGGAGACUGGAAUUCCUGGUGUAGCGGUGGAAUGCGCAGAUAUCAGGAGGAACACCAAUGGCGAAGGCAAUCCCCUGGACCUGUACUGACGCUCAUGCACGAAAGCGUGGGGAGCAAACAGG
rnacentral:rRNA from 1 species